GUCCAGCGGCGGGAAUCGAACCCACAACGUUCCGCUUACCGGGCAGAUGCCAUGACCACUAGGCUACCCUGGA
rnacentral:tRNA from 1 species